AUCUGAAAACGUAGGCUGCUGUUUCUAUUUUCUCCACAGGGUGGGGAUCUCACGUAUCGUCAGUGGAACGCAGAGACAGGAAGUGAUGUGACAUGAAGAUAGGAAGUGAUGUCGUGUAUAAAUAAGAAUUUCCAGGUCAGAGGUGAGUCGAAGGAAAAUAGAGCGAGAGAGAUUUCUGCACCCAGCAGCAGAGGAGUGCCUCCACUUCACUGUCUGACAACAGAGGUAACCAGUGCCAAGAAGAUCCUAGAAGUCACCAAGAAGACCAUCGAUCUGCUGACAGGAGAGGUUCCUAUAAGGUGUCAGGAUGUCACUGUCUAUUUCU